UUUCCCUUGGCCAACGGCACAGUAAGUAACCUCAGAGUUCAAAGCAUUCAGCAAACAAUGGAAAGGCAGAGCCACCAGAAAUGUACACAUGAUUUUCAUGACAGGUAUGGUAAUGCCAUGUUAGCUAGCGGAGCCUCUUUCUCUACUGCCCGUAUGGACCUAUGUUGCAACACCAAUUGGAAUUGGAUGGAAUCUGUGCCCUGUUGCCAGGGUCACCCCUAACGGAAUGGAGAGAUCAGUAA
rnacentral:lncRNA from 1 species